GCCAAUCGCCUUUGUAUCUCAUACAAUCAUGAUGAUAAUCAUAUAGCUACUGUGGUAUGGCCUUAGUGAAUGGAUCUGCUGUAUUGUUCUUUCUGUCUACUCAUUUAGGGAUAACAUCUUGUCUCUAACGAGAUGAAAACGUCUGAGGAUGUGCUUGGAUCUAUAAUGAGAUCUGGGUUCCUUAUCUUGAAUAACGGUCCUAGUGUUAUUACUCUAAAGUGACAUCGGUCCUUCAAUCUUAGGAAUGACUCUUAAAUCCAUGAUGAAUUUUUUCAUCCAGAUAGCU
rnacentral:lncRNA from 1 species